rnacentral:pre_miRNA from 1 species
UAGCAGCACGUAAAUAUUGGCGUGGGCACUUGCUGAAACCUCCAAUGUUAGCUUGCUGCUGCA